rnacentral:rRNA from 1 species
UACGUAGGGGGCAAGCGUUAUCCGGAUUUACUGGGUGUAAAGGGAGCGUAGACGGCUGUGCAAGUCUGGAGUGAAAGGCAUGGGCUCAACCUGUGGACUGCUUUGGAAACUGGCGGGCUAGAGUGCGGGAGGGGUAAGCGGAAUUCCUAGUGUAGCGGUGAAAUGCGUAGAUAUUAGGAGGAACACCGGUGGCGAAGGCGGCUUACUGGACGAUGACUGACGCUGAGGCUCGAAAGCGUGGGGAGCAAACAGG